GCCUGGGUGGCUCAGUCUGUUGAGUGUCUGACUUCAGCUCAGGUCGUGAUCUCACAGUUCGUGAGUUCGAGCCCCGCGUCGGGCU
rnacentral:tRNA from 1 species